GCCUGAGGCACAGGAAACCAGGGAUUUCUAUUACUCAGUUACAGCACCCUUGUCCACCAGUCUCUCUUUGCCAGUCUCUCUAGAGCACUCACGCCUAUUUAUUUGAUCUUAUGACCUACCAAGAUCAACCAGGCCCAGUGACUGAGUUUGGAGCUAUGAACCAUGGUGGGAUCUGCAGAGAGCAGACAACUAAAGACGGUGACUCCUCCUGUCCCAGAAUCUAUCAACUAACCAAUAGUUCGGAGGGUCCACAUCUUAGCCCACAGUAGAAGAAACUGGAAAAGAUGAUCAUGAAUUUCCACAAACUGCCAUGAUGGAGUGACAGGGACCCAAUGUAUCUUCUCAGAUUAGACCACCAGAAAACUGA